AUUGAACGCUGGCGGCAGGCCUAACACAUGCAAGUCGAGCGGAGCGGCGGACGGGUGAGUAAUGCCUAGGAAUCAGCCUGGUAGUGGGGGAUAACGUCCGGAGACGGGCGCUAAUACCGCAUACUAUCAGAUGAGCCUAGGGCGGAUUAGCUAGUUGGUGGGGUAAAGGCCUACCAAGGCGACGAUCCGUAGCUGGUCUGAGAGGAUGAUCAGUCACACUGGAACUGAGACACGGUCCAGACGCCUACGGGAGGCAGCAGUGGGGAAUAUUGGACAAUGGGCGAAAGUCUGAUCCAGCCAUGCCGCGUGUGUGAAGAAGGUCUUCGGAUUGUAAAGCACUUUAAGUUGGGAGGCGUUACCAACAGAAUAAGCACCGGCUAACUUCGUGCCAGCAGCCGCGGUAAUUC
rnacentral:rRNA from 1 species